GCGACUGUAGCCCAACGGUAGAGGCUCCCGGUUUAAGCCCGGGGAGAUGCGGGUUCGAAUCCUGCCAGUCGCACCA
rnacentral:tRNA from 1 species